rnacentral:rRNA from 1 species
CUGACGUGAAAUCGAUCGUCUGAUCCGAGUAUAGGGGCGAAAGACUAAUCGAACCAUCUAGUAGCUGGUUCCCUCCGAAGUUUCCCUCAGGAUAGCAGGGGUCAACCCGAUCGCCUUUGAGCAGUUUUAUCGGGUAAAGCGAAUGAUUAGAGGUUCGGGGGAGGCAUACUCCUCCACCUAUUCUCAAACUUUAAAUCGGUAAGAUGUCCUUGUGACUUAAUUGCACCUGGACGUCAGAAUGUCGACCCCUAGUGGGCCGUUUUUGGUAAGCAGAACCGGCGAUGUGGGAUGAACCAAACGUUGAGUUAAGGCGCCGAACGGCGUGCUCAUGAGCAACCAGAAAGGGUGUUGAUUGAUAUAGACAGCCGGAAGGUGACCAUGGAAGUCGGGAGCCUCUAAGGAGUGUGUAACAACUCACCGGCCGAAUCAAUCAGCCCCGAAAAUGGAUGGCGCUUGAGCGCGCGGCCUAUACUCGACUGUGGGCAGCAGUAGUCAGUUGCCGCCUAGCAAUAGUGCGGUGUCUCCUCCCGGGGAGCGCCGUUGAGCGAAAGCGGUUGUUAACAUACUGAAAUUGUUGGUGGUGCAUGAAUUAAUUGGACACUGCUGUCCACGAGUAGGAGGGCGCAGAGGUCGCGUCGAAGUGUGGGCGUGAGCCUGCAUGGAGCGGCCUCUGGUGCAGAUCUUGGUGGUAGUAGCAAGUACUCAAGUGAGAGCCUUGAGGGCCGAAGCGGGGAAGGGUUCCAUGUGAACAGCAAUUGGACAUGGGUUAGUCGGUCCUAAGCGACAAGUGAAAACCAUGUCUUGGAUUGGCGUCCUUCAGUGACGCAAUUGUCGCGAAAGGGAAUCGGGUUAAUAUUCCCGAACCUUGCCUAUCGGCGAUUCGGUGGUAACACUAGCACGCCCGGAGAUGGCGGCUGGACCCCGGGGAAGAGUUCUCUUUUCUUUUUAACAGACGCCGCAUCCUUGGAAUCGCAUUAAGCGGAGAUAAGGUGCACAGUCUGGCAGAGCACAGCAGCAUUUGCUGUGUCCCGCGUGGUCUAGACGUCCCUUGAAAAUCUGGGAAUGCAUAUGCCAGUAGGUAAGGCCGUAC